UCCUCCCAGUUUGCUGAAUCAGAAUUUACAGUUCACCAAGAUGCCCCGGUGAUUCAGCCGCACACAGUUCCAGAAGCCCUGAGCUAGUUCGUACAGUGUUCUUUACCCACGCUCAUCUCCCUGGCCUGAAUCACAGCGUGUUUGACUUGCUCAAGUUGUAGCCAUGGCUCUCCGUGUUUUGACUGUGACCUACAGAAAGAAACGGACUUUACAACGAGGAAGCAAGUACACCACAGAAACAAUGCCUUCACUACCUGGGGUGCACUCUGCACUCCCAUUCAUUCAGCAGGUAGUUUUGGCACCUGCUUUGCGCCAGGCCUCAUUCUAGCUGCCUGUGUCUAGAAGCCCCGGUUGUUGGGAGGUUUCUAUUCUAGGAGGAGGGCAAGGGGAUCAGAAAGUUAAAAGUAAACCAUGUAUAUAAAGGGCACGCUAAAAGAUAUUUAUUAAAAUCUUUUUUUUUAAAUUACAUUUUUAGGGUAGGGUUCUGGGGUGCUGGUUAUGUUCCAUUUCUUGAUCUGGGUGCUGGGUGUAUUACCUGUAAGAAUGCAAGCUUUCAGCACUUCUCUGGAGGUAUGCUGUACGUCAAUAAAAAGUUCAAAAAUUACA
rnacentral:lncRNA from 1 species